GUGAAUCAUCGAAUCUUUAGAACGCACAUUGCGCCCUCUGGUAUUCCAGGGGGCAUGCCUGUUUGAGCGUCAUUUCUCUCUCAAACCUUUGGGUUUGGUAGUGAGUGAUACUCGUCUCGGGUUAACUUGAAAGUGGCUAGCCGUUGCCAUCUGCGUGAGCAGGGCUGCGUGUCAAGUCUAUGGACUCGACUCUUGCACAUCUACGUCUUAGGUUUGCGCCAAUUCGUGGUAAGCUUGGGUCAUAGAGACUCAUAGGUGUUAUAAAGACUCGCUGGUGUUUGUCUCCUUGAGGCAUACGGCUUUAACCAAAACUCUCAAAGUUUGACCUCAAAUCAGGUAGGAGUACCCGCUGAACUUAAGCUUAUCAAUAAGCGGAGGAUC
rnacentral:rRNA from 1 species